GACGAACGCUGGCGGCGUGCCUAACACAUGCAAGUCGACCUUAGUGGCGAACGGGUGAGUAACAAGUGGGUAACCAGACAAUCAGAAGGGGAUAACACUUGGAAACAGGUGCUAAUAACGACUACUGAUGGAUGGACCCGCGGGGCAUUAGCUAGUUGGUGAGGUAACGGCUCACCAAGGCGACGAUGCAUAGCCGCCCUGCGAGGGUGAUCGGCCACAUUGGGACUGAGACACGGCCCAAACUCCUACGGGAGGCAGCAGUAGGGAAUCUUCGGCAAUGGACGAAAGUCUGACCGAGCAACGCCGCGUGAGUGAAGAAGGUUUUCGGAUCGUAAAACUCUGUUGUUAGAGAAGCGUUAUCUAACCAGAAAGCCACGGCUAACUACGUGCCAGCAGCCGCGGUAAUAC
rnacentral:rRNA from 1 species